UCGCACCUACCGAUUGAAACAUUCGGUGAGGAUUCCGGAUUCCGUUGCAUACGCUUCACGGCGUUGCUGAGGUAAAAAGUUAUCCAAACCUCAUGUUUUAGAGGAAGGUG
rnacentral:rRNA from 1 species